AUCCAGCUGACAAGUCCCAAACAGAACGAAACGCGCGUCCUGGAU
rfam:Schistosoma mattheei strain Denwood, Zambia genome assembly, scaffold: SMTD_scaffold0011891